ACAAUGGUCACAGAAAUAAUUUGAAUCUGACAAAAGUAAUAAAUAAAAAUUCUAUGAAAAUUAACCAAUGAAAAUCAGACAUUGCUUUCGAACCGUGGUUCAACAGAAUUAUUUUAAAGAAUAAACUCAUGAAACAGGCCUAGACAAAAAUGAUGGUACCCUUAACUUAAUAUUUUGUUGCACAACCUUUUGAGACAAUCACUGCAAUCAAACGAUUUCUGUAGCUGUCAAUGAGACUUCUGCACCUCUCAGCAGGUAUUCUGGUCCACUCCUCAUGAGCAGACUCCUCCAGUUGUCUCAGGUUUGAAGGGUGCCUUCUCCAGAUGACAUGUUUUAGCUCCUUCCACAGAUGUUCAGUAGUAUUUAGAUCAGGGAUCAUAGAAGGUCACUUCAGAAUAGUCCAAUGUUUUCCUCUUAGCCAUUCUUGGCUGUUUUUAGCUGUGUGUGUUUUGGGUCAUUAUUCUGUUGCAAGACCCAUGACCUGCGACUGAGACCAAGCUUUCUGACACUGGGCAGCACAUUUCUCUCUAGAAUACCUUGAUAGUCAUGAGAUUUCAUUGUACCCUGCACAGAUUCAAGACACCCUGUGCCAGAUGCAGCAAAGCAGCCCCAGAACAUAACAGAGCCUCCUCCAUGUUUCACAGUAGGGACAGUGUUCUUUUCUUGAUAUGAUUCAUUUUUGCAUCUGUGAACAUAGAGCUGAUGUGCCUUGCCAAAAAGUUCCAGUUUUGUCUCGUCUGUCCAUAGGACAUUCUCCCAGAAGCUUUGUGGCUUGUCAGCAUGAAGUUUGGCAAAUUCCAGUCUGGCUUUUUUAUGAUUUGUUUUCAACAAUAGUGUCCUCCUUGGUCGUCUUCCAUGGAGUCCACUUUGGCUCAAACAACGACGGAUGGUGCAAUCUGACACUGAUGUACCUUGACCUUGGAGUUCACCGUUAAUGUCUUGAGAGAUUGUUCUGGGCUCUUUUGUUACCAAUCGUAUUAUCCGUCUCUUCCGUCUGUCAUCAAUUUUCCUCCUGCAGCCACGUCCAGGGAGGUUGGCUACAGUCCCAUGGAUCUUAAAUUUCUGAAUAAUAUGUGCAACUGUAGUCACAGGAACAUCAAGUUGCUUGGAGAUGGUCUUACAGCCUUUACCUUUAACAUGUUUGUCUAUGAUUUUCUUUCUAAUCUUCUGAGACAACUCUCUCCUUCGCUUCCUCUGGUCCAUGUUUAGUGUGGUAUACACACCAUGUCACCAAACAGCACAGUGACUACUUGUAACCCUAUAAAUAGGUCGACUGACUGAUUACAAGUUUAUAGACACCUGUGAUACUAAUUAGAACAAACACCCUGAUUGAACAUGUCCCUAUGGUCACAUUAUUUUCAGUCUUUUCUAGGGGUACCAUCAUUUUUGUCCAGGCCUGUUUUGUGAGUUUAUUUUUUUAAAUGGUUCUGUUGAACCACAGUUCAAAAGCGAUGUCUGAUUUUCAUUGGUUAAUUUUCAUAGAAUUUUUAUUUAUUAUUACUUUUGUCAGAUUGAAAUUAUUUCUGUGACCACUGUGGUUUUUUUUUUUUUAAUUAACCGAGGGGUACCAACAAUUUUGUCCACGUGUGUAUAUAUGCUUAGAGUGAAAAGUCUCUCUGUGCCUUUAUGGCUGUGGUCUGUGAAAGAGAGAAGGAGGGUGUUGGUGUCUUGUGUGCGUGCUUCUUCACAAACACUUCAGAUUUGAUUUGUUCUUUUCCAUACUGGUCCUUAUCAACCUGGUAUCAGAGACUGAGUCCAGAUCGUUGGUCCAGUGAUGCUGCAUUUUCUUAGUGUUCUGAUUUAAACUGUUCAAUUCAUUCGUGCAUAGCAAGUUAUGUGUGUUAGGUAGGGUGAUCAGAAGGUCAGUGAGAAGAAAACAAAUCCUCUUCUCCAGAGAUGUGGUUUUCCUCACAGUUGACAGUUUAUGACCCUUAUCAGAUUCUGGUGGAGGGAGGAGGCAUCCUGUUGUCUCCAAAGCUGCAUUUCCUUUAGGACUUACUUGGUGUGACACGGCUCGACUCGACUUGGUUUGUGAGGUUUUCCAUCAGGACUAGUACCUGGUACCAGGCACUAUUUUUAGUACCUACUAGGCUGAGGUUCCAAGCGAAAUGAAGCGAGCCAAUAAUGUGACGUCUGCAGGCCACUGAUUGGACGGGGAAUGACGACACACGAGAGCGACUCCUGCACGGAAACCAAACCCGGCCUUUUUAAAACAACUGGCAACAGUGACGGUACGCGGUAAACUCUGCUCUUUAGCCACUCAUUUUUAUUGUUAGAGGUCGAAUAUGGAAAGCAAACCGGUACCAUGGUCUAACCACGAGGUCCAGACAUUUCUGUCUGUGGUGGUGGACGAGAGCAUUCAGAGGGAGCUAGAUGGUGCCACUCGGAAUCAGAAGGUGUAUCAGGAGGUCUCCGAGCGAAUGGCCGCCCUUGGAUACAAUAGGUUGAUGAAGCAGUGUCGGGAGAAAUUAAAAAAGCUGAAAAGCGACUAUCGGUCCAUCAAGGACCCAACGGCCGUAGUGGGUCAAACCGCCGGUGUUGGAAGUAGUUUGAGCAAAUGGAUGCCAUUUACGGACACCGACCGGCGAGCAACAGGAGGGAGGGUGGCCUAGACUCCAUCACUGCAUUAUUGGAGACUGUCAAGAACGGUGAGUGUUUUGUGACUUAAAGAAACUUUUACAUUAUUUAUCCCAUUGUUGAUAAGCUCACUUGAAACAAAAAAUAUAUUUAGAAACUAACGUCGUUGUUUCCUGUAGCAGACAAUAAGCUAGCUAGUUAGCCAUUCAGCUAGCUAGUUAGCCAUCAGCGCUAACUCCUUGCUCAGCUUGUAUUUUGAGUUUGCUGUGUCCUACAUUUAGUUCUCAGGAGCGAAUACAUCAGUCAGCAUGUCAACAUUGUAAGCCAGUGGUCUUACUGGUUUAUUUUUUCACAUGUUAAGAUUUCGUGCUUUUCGUGUACUUAAGGUGAGUGUUUCUUUCUGUUCAAAAAUCCCUCUCCACGUGUGGGGUCUACUCCGCCUCCGCGGAGCCCCCAAGCUCCCCUCCCUCCUCUCCGGCACCAGCAGCGGCUUCCCCGGCACUAGCAGCGGCCUCUCCAGCACCACCUUGGACACCGACACCAUCUACAUCAACCUCCAGCACACAGCAACGUCCUGUCACUGGCAAGAGGAAAAGGAGCCACAGCUUUGACCUUGCCAGGGUGUCUGCCCACAUGCAGGCUGUGGAUGAACGGCAACAUACACAGAACCGAGCAGUGCAACGACCACAACCAGUUGCUCCUCAACAACCCACGCAAAGCACGGGAGCAUGAAGUGGCGUUGCAGGAGCACGAAGCAGCGCUGCCGAGGGAGGAGAUGGCCCAGACUGCUGUUUUUAACCAGGCAUUCCUGGGUGUGUUGGGGAAGCUGGUGGACCAAAUGGGCAGCCGACGAGUUUGAGCGAGCCAUCUCCCACAGACUGUAAUUGUACAUAGUUUUUAAAAAAAAAAAAAAAAAAACAGUUUGCAUUGUAAAUAGUGUUGAUUUUGACAACAUUUUUGUGACCUAUGUGAUUGCAUUGUAACUUUUCAUUUUGUCUGUUAGACACUGGUGGGAAAAGAGUCAACAGUUUGAAAACAAAAAAAUCUGUGUUCUACUACAGGGUUUCUGCAGGGCAUUAAUAAGCAUUAAUAGUCAUUAAAUUGAUUUUGUGAAAAUUAAGGCUUUAAAUGCCAUUAAAAAUCAUUAAAGUUGAUUCUCAGUGGCAUUAAAAAUUCUGCAGUUUUCAAAAAAAUAAAUUUGAUAAUGAUAUAUGUAAUUAUAGACUGCGAUUUGUCAGAUAUGUGCAUCUGCUUAGACAUUGAAAAGCAUUGAAUUUGACUGGCUGAUUUCUGCAGAGACCCUGAACUAGCAUCUACAUUCUCUAAAAAUGUGUUAAUGACAUUUAACAUGUUUUAACACAAACUACUUUGUGGUUCAAAAUUCUAUUGACUGAAUUAUACCAAAGCAAUACUGAUUUAGCAAACUGGAUUAUUCAUUAGUGAUGGGCAGGUGAAGCCUCAUGAAACACUGAGGCUUUCCAUACAAUUGUGCUGAAAAAGAUUCGAAGCUUUAAGGCUUUAGCCAGUGACAUCUGGUGGACAACUGAAGCCAUAGCAACUUCUCAAGAGAGCGACGAAAGCACUGACUUUCAAUUCCAUGUCAGCAGUAAAAGUUCAGAAAAGACUGUGGUCAUUCAUGUGCUUUGUUCAUUUAUACUAAACAAUGAUUAUAUCAUCAAUACACAUUAAAAUAAAUGAUGCUUGUUAGACAGAA